rnacentral:rRNA from 1 species
GAUGAACGCUGGCGGCGUGCCUAAUACAUGCAAGUCGAGCGAACAGACGAGGAGCUUGCUCCUCUGACGUUAGCGGCGGACGGGUGAGUAACACGUGGAUAACCUACCUAUAAGACUGGGAUAACUUCGGGAAACCGGAGCUAAUACCGGAUAACAUGUUGAACCGCAUGGUACAACAGUGAAAGACGGUCUUGCUGUCACUUAUAGAUGGAUCCGCGCCGCAUUAGCUAGUUGGUAAGGUAACGGCUUACCAAGGCAACGAUGCGUAGCCGACCUGAGAGGGUGAUCGGCCUCACUGGAACUGAGACACGGUCCAGACUCCUACGGGAGGCAGCAGUAGGGAAUCUUCCGCAAUGGGCGAAAGCCUGACGGAGCAACGCCGCGUGAGUGAAGAAGGUCUGCGGAUCGUAAAACUCUGUUAUUAGGGAAGAACAAAUGUGUAAGUAACUAUGCACGUCUUGACGGUACCUAAUCAGAAAGCCACGGCUAACUACGU